UUCCAGACUCCUACGGGAGGCAGCAGUGGGGAAUAUUGCACAAUGGGGGAAACCCUGAUGCAGCAACGCCGCGUGAGUGAAGAAGUAUUUCGGUAUGUAAAGCUCUAUCAGCAGGGAAGAAGAUGACGGUACCUGAAUAAGAAGCCCCGGCUAACUACGUGCCAGCAGCCGCGGUAAUACGUAGGGGGCAAGCGUUAUCCGGAUUUACUGGGUGUAAAGGGGGCGCAGACGGCGAUGCAAGCCAGGAGUGAAAGCCCGGGGCCCAACCCCGGGACUGCUCUUGGAACUGCGUGGCUGGAGUGCAGGAGGGGCAGGCGGAAUUCCUGGUGUAGCGGUGAAAUGCGUAGAUAUCAGGAGGAACACCGGUGGCGAAGGCGGCCUGCUGGACUGCAACUGACGUUGAGGCCCGAAAGCGUGGGGAGCAAACAGGAUUAGAUACCCCUGUA
rnacentral:rRNA from 1 species